rnacentral:rRNA from 1 species
GAUGAACGCUGGCGGCGUGCCUAAUACAUGCAAGUCGAGCGAACGGACGAGAAGCUUGCUUCUCUGAUGUUAGCGGCGGACGGGUGAGUAACACGUGGAUAACCUACCUAUAAGACUGGGAUAACUUCGGGAAACCGGAGCUAAUACCGGAUAAUAUUUUGAACCGCAUGGUUCAAAAGUGAAAGACGGUCUUGCUGUCACUUAUAGAUGGAUCCGCGCUGCAUUAGCUAGUUGGUAAGGUAACGGCUUACCAAGGCAACGAUGCAUAGCCGACCUGAGAGGGUGAUCGGCCACACUGGAACUGAGACACGGUCCAGACUCCUACGGGAGGCAGCAGUAGGGAAUCUUCCGCAAUGGGCGAAAGCCUGACGGAGCAACGCCGCGUGAGUGAUGAAGGUCUUCGGAUCGUAAAACUCUGUUAUUAGGGAAGAACAUAUGUGUAAGUAACUGUGCACAUCUUGACGGUACCUAAUCAGAAAGCCACGGCUAACUACGUGCCAGCAGCCGCGGUAAUACGUAGGUGGCGAGCGUUAUCCGGAAUUAUUGGGCGUAAAGCGCGCGUAGGCGGUUUUUUAAGUCUGAUGUGAAAGCCCACGGCUCAACCGUGGAGGGUCAUUGGAAACUGGAAAACUUGAGUGCGGAAGAGGAAGGUGGAAUUCCAUGUGUAGCGGUGAAAUGCGCAGAGAUAUGGAGGAACACCAGUGGCGAAGGCGACUUUCUGGUCUGUAACUGACGCUGAUGUGCGAAAGCGUGGGGAUCAAACAGGAUUAGAUACCCUGGUAGUCCACGCCGUAAACGAUGAGUGCUAAGUGUUAGGGGGUUUCCGCCCCUUAGUGCUGCAGCUAACGCAUUAAGCACUCCGCCUGGGGAGUACGACCGCAAGGUUGAAACUCAAAGGAAUUGACGGGGACCCGCACAAGCGGUGGAGCAUGUGGUUUAAUUCGAAGCAACGCGAAGAACCUUACCAAAUCUUGACAUCCUUUGACAACUCUAGAGAUAGAGCCUUCCCCUUCGGGGGACAAAGUGACAGGUGGUGCAUGGUUGUCGUCAGCUCGUGUCGUGAGAUGUUGGGUUAAGUCCCGCAACGAGCGCAACCCUUAAGCUUAGUUGCCAUCAUUAAGUUGGGCACUCUAAGUUGACUGCCGGUGACAAACCGGAGGAAGGUGGGGAUGACGUCAAAUCAUCAUGCCCCUUAUGAUUUGGGCUACACACGUGCUACAAUGGACAAUACAAAGGGCAGCGAAACCGCGAGGUCAAGCAAAUCCCAUAAAGUUGUUCUCAGUUCGGAUUGUAGUCUGCAACUCGACUACAUGAAGCUGGAAUCGCUAGUAAUCGUAGAUCAGCAUGCUACGGUGAAUACGUUCCCGGGUCU